rnacentral:lncRNA from 1 species
CUCGUUAUCGUCAUCAUUAUUAUCAUCAUCGUCAUCAUCAUCCUCAUUAUCGUCAUCCUCCUCGUCCUCAUCACUGUCAUCCUCAUCAUCCUCAUCAUCACCCCCACUGUCAUCCUCAUCAUCCUCAUCUUCAUCCUCAUCUUCAUUAUCGUCCUCAUCAUCAUUAUCAUCAUCUUCAUCAUCAUUAUCGUCAUCAUUGUCAUCAUCAUCCUCGUUACCGUCAUCAUCAUUAUCAUCAUCGUCGUCAUCAUCCUCAUUAUUGUCCUCCUCCUCGUCCUCAUCAUCCUCAUCCUCAUCAUCCUCAUCAUCACCCCCACUGUCAUCCUCAUCAUCCUCAUCUUCAUCCUCAUCUUCAUCCUCAUCUUCAUUAUCGUCCUCAUUAUCAUCAUCUUCAUCAUCGUUAUCAUCACCCUCAUCAUCGUCAUCCUCAUCACCAUCUGCAUUGUUGGCCUCAUUGUCUUCAUCGCCAUCGUUGUCAUCAUCCUCAUCGUCACCCUCUUCAUCCUCAUCUUCAUCCUCAUCUUCAUCCUCGUCCUCAUCUUCAUCCUCAUCUUCAUCCUCAUCUUCAUCAUCAUCAUCACCACCAUCCUCAUUAUCAUCCUCAUCAUCCUCAUCAUCAUCCUCCUCCUCGUCCUCAUCACUGUCGUCCUCUUUGUCAUCCUCAUCAUCCUCAUCUUCAUCCUCAUCAUCGUUGUCAUCUUCAUCAUCCUCAUCAUCAUUAUCAUCAUCUUCAUCAUCGUUAUCAUCAUCAUCAUUAUCAUCAUUAUCCUCAUCCUCAUCAUCAUCCUCAUUAUCGUCCUCCUCCUCGUCCUCAUCGUUGUCGUCCUCGUUGUUGUCGCCAUCAUCGUCGUCUUCCUCCUCAUCUUCAUCCUCAUCAUCCUCAUCUUCAUCCUCAUCACCCCCAUCGUCAUCCUCAUCAUCCUCCUCAUCAUCCUCCUCAUCCUCACCUUCAUCACCAUCUUCAUCUUCAUCGUGGUGGUGGCCGCCCUCGCUGUCACCGCUGUCACUGCUGUUGUUGUCGGCGCCACCAGUGCUGUUGUCCUCAGUGUCGGUGCUGUUGUCGCCCUCACCUUCAUCCUCAUCGUCAUCAUCAUCGUCGUCAUCAUCGUCAUCAUUAUCGUUCUCAUCGUCAUCAUCAUCAUCGUCAUCGUCGUCGUCGUCAUCAUUGUUAUCAUCCUCAUUAUCAUCAUCCUCAUUAUCGUCAUCCUCCUCGUCCUCAUCGCUGUCAUCCUCAUCAUCCUCAUCAUCACCCCCACUGUCAUCCUCAUCAUCCUCAUCUUCAUCCUCAUCUUCAUUAUCGUCCUCAUCAUCGUUAUCAUCAUCUUCAUCAUCGUUAUCGUCAUCAUUGUCAUCAUCAUCCUCGUUAUCGUCAUCAUCAUUAUUAUCAUCAUCGUCGUCAUCAUCCUCAUUAUCGUCAUCCUCCUCGUCCUCAUCACUGUCACCCUCAUCAUCUUCAUCAUCACCCCCACUGUCAUCCUCAUCAUCCUCAUCUUCAUCCUCAUCAUCGUUGUCAUCUUCAUCAUCCUCAUCAUCAUUAUCAUCAUCUUCAUCAUCGUUAUCAUCAUCAUCAUUAUCAUCAUUAUCCUCAUCCUCAUCAUCAUCCUCAUUAUCAUCGUUGUCAUCUUCAUCAUCCUCAUCCUCAUCAUCAUCAUCAUCAUCAUCAUCAUCGUUAUCAUCCUCAUUAUCAUCAUCCUCGUUAUCGUCAUCCUGAUUAUCAUCAUCCUCGUUAUCGUCAUCCUCAUCACCAUCAGCAUUGUUGUCCUCAUUGUCUUCAUCGUCAUCGUUGUCAUCAUCCUCAUUGUCAUCCUCAUCUUCAUCCUCAUCUUCAUCCUCAUCUUCAUCCUCCUCCUCAUCAUCGCGUUAUCAUCCUCAUUAUCAUCCUCAUUAUCAUCAUCGUCAUCAUCAUCCUCGUUAUCGUCAUCAUUAUUAUCAUCAUCGUCGUCAUCAUCCUCAUUAUCGUCAUCCUCCUCGUCCUCAUCACUGUCACCCUCAUCAUCCUCAUCAUCACCCCCACUGUCAUCCUCAUCAUCCUCAUCUUCAUCCUCAUCUUCAUCCUCUUCCUCGUUGUCAUCCUCAUCAUCCUCAUCAUCGUUAUCAUCAUCUUCAUCAUCGUUAUCAUCACCCUCAUCAUCGUCAUCCUCAUCGUCCUCAUCAUUGUUGUCCUCAUCGUCUUCAUCGCCAUCGUUGUCCUCAUCCUCAUCGUCACCCUCUUCAUCCUCAUCUUCAUCCUCAUCUUCAUCAUCAUCGUCGUCAUCAUCUUCAUCAUCGUUAUCGUCAUCAUUGUCAUCAUCAUCCUCGUUAUCGUCAUCAUCAUUAUUAUCAUCAUCGUCGUCAUCAUCCUCAUUAUCGUCAUCCUCCUCGUCCUCAUCACUGUCACCCUCAUCAUCCUCAUCAUCACCCCCACUGUCAUCCUCAUCAUCCUCAUCUUCAUCCUCUUCCUCGUUGUCAUCCUCAUCAUCCUCAUCAUCGUUAUCAUCAUCUUCAUCAUCCUCAUCAUCAUCCUCGUUAUCGUCUUCCUCAUCACCAUCUGCAUUGUUGUCCUCAUUGUCUUCAUCGCCAUCGUUGUCAUCAUCCUCAUCGUCAUCCUCAUCUUCAUCCUCAUCCUCAUCCUCUUCAUCCUCAUCUUCAUCCUCGUCUUCAUCAUCUUCUUCAUUAUCAUUAUCAUCAUCACCACCAUCCUCGUUAUCAUCCUCAUCAUCCUCAUUAUCAUCAUCAUCAUCAUCAUCCUCCUCCUCCUCCUCGUCCUCAUCACUGUCGUCCUCUUUGUCAUCCUCAUCAUCCUCAUCUUCAUCCUCAUCAUCGUUGUCAUCUUCAUCAUCCUCAUCAUCAUUAUCAUCAUCUUCAUCAUCGUUAUCAUCAUCAUCAUUAUCAUCAUUAUCCUCAUCCUCAUCAUCAUCCUCAUUAUCGUCCUCCUCCUCGUCCUCAUCGUUGUCGUCCUCGUUGUUGUCGCCAUCAUCGUCGUCUUCCUCCUCAUCUUCAUCCUCAUCAUCCUCAUCUUCAUCCUCAUCACCCCCAUCGUCAUCCUCAUCAUCCUCCUCAUCAUCCUCCUCAUCCUCACCUUCAUCACCAUCUUCAUCUUCAUCGUGGUGGUGGCCGCCCUCGCUGUCACCGCUGUCACUGCUGUUGUUGUCGGCGCCACCAGUGCUGUUGUCCUCAGUGUCGGUGCUGUUGUCGCCCUCACCUUCAUCCUCAUCGUCAUCAUCAUCGUCGUCAUCAUCGUCAUCAUUAUCGUUCUCAUCGUCAUCAUCAUCAUCGUCAUCGUCGUCGUCGUCAUCAUUGUUAUCAUCCUCAUUAUCAUCAUCCUCAUUAUCGUCAUCCUCCUCGUCCUCAUCGCUGUCAUCCUCAUCAUCCUCAUCAUCACCCCCACUGUCAUCCUCAUCAUCCUCAUCUUCAUCCUCAUCUUCAUUAUCGUCCUCAUCAUCGUUAUCAUCAUCUUCAUCAUCGUUAUCGUCAUCAUUGUCAUCAUCAUCCUCGUUAUCGUCAUCAUUAUUAUCAUCAUCGUCAUCAUCAUCCUCAUUAUCGUCAUCCUCCUCGUCCUCAUCACUGUCAUCCUCAUCAUCCUCAUCAUCACCCCCACUGUCAUCCUCAUCAUCCUCAUCUUCAUCCUCAUCAUCGUUGUCAUCUUCAUCAUCCUCAUCAUCAUUAUCAUCAUCUUCAUCAUCGUUAUCAUCAUCAUCAUUAUCAUCAUUAUCCUCAUCCUCAUCAUCAUCCUCAUUAUCGUCCUCCUCCUCGUCCUCAUCGUUGUCGUCCUCGUUGUUGUCGCCAUCAUCGUCGUCUUCCUCCUCAUCUUCAUCCUCAUCAUCCUCAUCUUCAUCCUCAUCACCCCCAUCGUCAUCCUCAUCAUCCUCCUCAUCAUCCUCCUCAUCCUCACCUUCAUCUUGUCGCCCUCGUCGUCUUCAUCAUCAUUGUUGUCAUCAUCCCCAUCUUCAUCAUCCUCAUCACCCUCCUCAUCCUCAUCACCCUCCUCAUCCUCAUCACCCUCAUCUUCCUCGUCAUCCUCAUCAACUUCCUCAUCCUCAUCACCCUCCUCAUCCUCCUCAUCUUCAUCAUCCUCAUCUUCCUCAUCAUCCUCAUCACCCUCCUCAUCCUCAUCACCCUCCUCAUCCUCCUCAUCCUCAUCAUCACCCUCAUCAUCACCCUCAUCUUCCUCAUCACCCUCAUCUUCGUCAUUACCCUCAUCACCCUCAUCCUCACCCUCCUCAUCCUCCUCUUCCUCCUCACCCUCCUCACCCUCCUCAUCCUCACCCCCUGCCAUCCUGCCAUCGUCAUCGUCCUCGUCUUCAUCACCGUCGUCCUGCUUGUCGUCACUGCUGUCGUCGUCGUCGUCGUCACAGCUGUGCCCCACACACUGCCCCACAUAUCCCAUAUCUGUGCCCCAUAACCCCAUACAUAACCCCAUAGCUGCACCCC